rnacentral:rRNA from 1 species
AGUCAAGUAAUUAAGUGCAUGUGGUGGAUGCCUUGGCAGUCAGAGGCGAUGAAAGACGUGAUAGCCUGCGAAAAGCUCCGGGGAGGCGGCAAAUAUCCUUUGAUCCGGAGAUGUCUGAAUGGGGGAACCCACCUACUUUAAGGUAGGUAUUGCAACAUGAAUACAUAGUGUUGCAAGGCGAACGAGGGGAAGUGAAACAUCUCAGUACCCUUAGGAAAAGAAAUCAAUUGAGAUUCCCUCAGUAGCGGCGAGCGAACGGGGAUCAGCCCAUUAAGUUAUGUGUGUUUUAGUGGAACGCUCUGGGAAGUGCGAACGUAGAGGGUGAUAUUCCCGUACACGAAAGGGCACACAUAAUGAUGACGAGUAGGGCGAGGCACGUGAAACCUUGUCUGAAUAUGGGGGGACCAUCCUCCAAGGCUAAAUACUCCUGACUGACCGAUAGUGAACCAGUACCGUGAGGGAAAGGCGAAAAGAACCCCUGUGAGGGGAGUGAAAUAGAUCCUGAAACCGCAUGCAUACAAGCAGUGGGAGCACCUUCGUGGUGUGACUGCGUACCUUUUGUAUAAUGGGUCAGCGACUUAUAUUCAGUAGCGAGGUUAACCGUAUAGGGGAGCCGUAGAGAAAUCGAGUCUUAAUAGGGCGUUUAGUUGCUGGGUAUAGACCCGAAACCAGGCGAUCUAUCCAUGAGCAGGUUGAAGGUUGGGUAACACUAACUGGAGGACCGAACCCACUGUCGUUGAAAAGCCAGGGGAUGACUUGUGGAUAGGGGUGAAAGGCUAAUCAAGCCUGGUGAUAGCUGGUUCUCCCCGAAAGCUAUUUAGGUAGCGCCUCGGACGAAUACCAUAGGGGGUAGAGCACUGUUUCGGCUAGGGGGUCAUCCCGACUUACCAAACCGAUGCAAACUCCGAAUACCUAUGAGUACUAUCCGGGAGACAGACUGCGGGUGCUAACGUCCGUAGUCAAGAGGAAAACAAUCCAGACCGCCAGCUAAGGCCCCAAAAUCAUAGUUAAGUGGGAAACGAUGUGGGAAGGCAUAGACAGCUAGGAGGUUGGCUUAGAAGCAGCCACCCUUUAAAGAAAGCGUAAUAGCUCACUAGUCGAGUCGGCCUGCGCGGAAGAUGUAACGGGGCUAAAACUAUGUGCCGAAGCUGCGGAUGUAUACUUUGUAUACGUGGUAGGGGAGCGUUCUGUAAGCCGAUGAAGGUGUGUUGAGAAGCAUGCUGGAGGUAUCAGAAGUGCGAAUGCUGACGUGAGUAACGACAAAACGGGUGAAAAACCCGUUCGCCGAAAGACCAAGGGUUCCAGUCCAACGUUAAUCGGGGCUGGGUGAGUCGACCCCUAAGGCGAGGCCGAAAGGCGUAGUCGAUGGGAAAAUGGUUAAUAUUCCAUUACUUCUGUGUAAUGCGAUGAGAGGACGGAGAAGGCUAAAUCAGCCUGGCGUUGGUUGUCCAGGUGAAAGGAUGUAGGCAUGUAUCUUAGGCAAAUCCGGGGUACUCUAUGCUGAGAUCUGAUAGCAAGCUGUACUUGUACAGCGAAGUGGUUGAUGCCAUGCUUCCAGGAAAAGUCUCUAAGCUUCAGUUACACAGGAAUCGUACCCGAAACCGACACAGGUGGUCAGGUCGAGUAGACCAAGGCGCUUGAGAGAACUCUGCUGAAGGAACUAGGCAAAAUGGUACCGUAACUUCGGGAGAAGGUACGCUGUUGUUGGUGAUGGAACUCGCUUCCUGAGCUGACGACAGCCGCAGAAACCAGGCCGCUGCAACUGUUUAUUAAAAACAUAGCACUCUGCAAACACGAAAGUGGACGUAUAGGGUGUGAUGCCUGCCCGGUGCUGGAAGGUUAAUUGAUGGGGUUAGCGUAAGCGAAGCUCUUGAUCGAAGCCCCAGUAAACGGCGGCCGUAACUAUAACGGUCCUAAGGUAGCGAAAUUCCUUGUCGGGUAAGUUCCGACCUGCACGAAUGGCAUAAUGAUGGCGGCGCUGUCUCCAGCAGAGGCUCAGUGAAAUCGAAAUCGCUGUGAAGAUGCAGUGUACCCGCGGCUAGACGGAAAGACCCCGUGAACCUUUACUGCAGCUUGACACUGAACUUUGACCUUACUUGUGUAGGAUAGGUGGGAGGCUUUGAAGCUGGAACGCUAGUUCCAGUGGAGCCGUCCUUGAAAUACCACCCUGGUAAUGUUGAGGUUCUAACUCUGUCCCGUGAUCCGGGACGAGGACCGUGUCUGGUGGGUAGUUUGACUGGGGCGGUCUCCUCCUAAAGAGUAACGGAGGAGUACGAAGGUGCGCUCAGCGUGGUCGGAAAUCACGCGUAGAGUAUAAAGGCAAAAGCGCGCUUAACUGCGAGACCCACAAGUCGAGCAGGUACGAAAGUAGGUCUUAGUGAUCCGGUGGUUCUGUAUGGAAGGGCCAUCGCUCAACGGAUAAAAGGUACUCUGGGGAUAACAGGCUGAUACCGCCCAAGAGUUCAUAUCGACGGCGGUGUUUGGCACCUCGAUGUCGGCUCAUCUCAUCCUGGGGCUGAAGCAGGUCCCAAGGGUAUGGCUGUUCGCCAUUUAAAGAGGUACGCGAGCUGGGUUUAGAACGUCGUGAGACAGUUCGGUCCCUAUCUACCGUGGGCGCUGGAAAUUUGAGAGGAUCUGCUCCUAGUACGAGAGGACCAGAGUGGACGAACCUCUGGUGUACCGGUUGUGACGCCAGUCGCAUCGCCGGGUAGCUAUGUUCGGAAGGGAUAACCGCUGAAAGCAUCUAAGCGGGAAGCCUACCUCAAGAUAAGAUUUCCCUAGGACUUUAUGUCCUCUAAAGAGCCGUUCGAGACUA